rnacentral:rRNA from 1 species
UUGUCAUUAGUUGCUACGAAAGGGCACUCUAAUGAGACUGCCGGUGACAAACCGGAGGAAGUGGGGAUGACGUCAAGUCCUCAUGGCCCUUAUGGGUAGGGCUGCACACGUCAUACAAUGGCCGGUACAAAGGGCAGCCAACCCGCGAGGGGGAGCCAAUCCCGUAAAGCCGGUCGUAGUCCGGAUCGCAGUCUGCAACUCGACUGCGUGAAGUCGGAAUCGCUAGUAAACGCAGGUCAGCCAUACUGCGUUGAAUACGUUCCCGGGGCUU